GACGAACGCUGGCGGCAUGCCUAACACAUGCAAGUCGAGCGAGCAGAUCCCUUCGGGGUGAAGCUAGCGGCGGACGGGUGAGUAACACGUGGGCAACCUGCCUCAUAGAGGGGAAUAGCCUUCCGAAAGGAAGAUUAAUACCGCAUAAGAUCGUAGCUUCGCAUGAAGUAGCAAUUAAAGGAGCAAUCCACUAUGAGAUGGGCCCGCGGCGCAUUAGCUAGUUGGUGAGGUAACGGCUCACCAAGGCGACGAUGCGUAGCCGACCUGAGAGGGUGAUCGGCCACAUUGGGACUGAGACACGGCCCAGACUCCUACGGGAGGCAGCAGUGGGGAAUAUUGCACAAUGGGGGAAACCCUGAUGCAGCAAUGCCACGUGAGUGAUGACGGCCUUCGGGUUGUAAAGCUCUGUCUUCGGGGACGAUAAUGACGGUACCCGAGGAGGAAGCCACGGCUAACUACGUGCCAGCCGCCGCCGUAA
rnacentral:rRNA from 1 species